rnacentral:rRNA from 1 species
AUGAACAUCUUGGCCUGGAACUGUUGAGGCUCGGGGUUGGACUCGACAAUGGGCGAAUUACGGGACCUAAUUAGGUCCAACCCAGCGGUGGUGUUCUUAAGCGAAACAAAGAAAAAAGCUCGUGCAAUGGAGAGACUCAAAUGGAGCUUGGGCUUCAAAAGUGGGGUGCCAGUGGAUUGUCGUGGAAGGAGUGGGGGGCUGGCUCUUUGGUCGAGGGAACAUGUUCAAGUUACGGUAAGACCAUGGUCCCAGUAUUACAUUGACGCCCAAGUUGUAUGUGAGGGCAAGACCUCGAGAAUCACUGGAUUCUAUGGGGAACCCAAUACGGAGCUGAGAAAGAAAUCUUGGGACGUUAUCCGUUAUCUUCGAGCGCAAGACGACCAGCCAUGGAUUUGUGUCGAGGAUUACAGUGAGACCUUGUUCCAAACCGACCAGCUAGGGGGAAUGUGA